rnacentral:tRNA from 1 species
GUGAGUAUAGCUCAGUGGUAGAGCACAUACCUUGCGUGCAUGAGGCCCUGGGUUCAAUCCCCAGUACCUCCA